rnacentral:rRNA from 1 species
CGUGUAGGCGGGUUAAUAAGUCAGAUGUGAAAUUCCAUGGCUCAACUGUGGCGCUGCAUCUGAAACUAUUAAUCUUGAGUGAUGGAGAGGAAAGCGGAAUUCCUAGUGUAGCGGUGAAAUGCGUAGAUAUUAGGAGGAACACCAGUGGCGAAGGCGGCUUUCUGGACAUUAACUGACGCUGAGGCGCGAAAGCAGUGGGGAGCAAACAGGAUUAGAUACCCUGGUAGUCCACGCUGUAAACGAUGGAUACUAGGUGUAGGAGGUAUCGACCCCUUCUGUGCCGGAGUUAACACAAUAAGUACUCCCACCGUGGGGAGUACGGCCGCAAGGUUGAA